UCCUCCAUUGCCAACAAAAUAGAAUUGCUGUGUGAUAGAUUGCUCAAGAAUUGGGCUUAAACAAAUCUACAAUCAGAAUCUUCCACAAACACUAUAAGGAGAUCAAUUCCAUCAAACCUGGAUCAGCAAUGGUAGACCACCAAGGACUACUGCAAAGAGAAGAUAGAGUUUUGCAUUGCCUUAUCAUUAAACACUGACCUGGUACAUUUGUGGAAGCUACAGAAUUAUAGACCAAACACAUAAGCCAACCUGUAUCUUGAUGAACUGCUAGUAGCAGGCUACACAACAUGGGAUAUGGUUCUUAGGAGGGUAAGCAAAAAGCUAUGUUGAUACCAGCUCAGCAAAAGAAGAGCAUUACCUAUCUUGGACAGAGGUUGAUUGGAGGAAGAUGAUAUGGUCUGAUGAGUCUCCCUUCCCAGUCCUAAAUAUAAAUAUUGGAUAGAGAGUCAUCUGUGAGCCAAAUGAAGAACUUCUCCAAAAUUAUGUAUAAGAAGAAGUGAAGUUUCUAGAUACUGUGCAAGUGUGGGAGUUUUGCCUCUUCUGGAAUAAGUGAUUUGGUUCCAUAUGAUGGAUAUAUCAAUGCACAACAUUACUAGAAAAUCUUGGAAUAACAUUUCCUGCCUUCCAUCGCCUGCCUUUAUCCAUAGGAAGAUUCAAUCUUCCAGCAAGAUCUUGCAUUGCAUGCUUCACUACUGCUUGACUCAUUGCAAUUACUUCCACUGUUUAUACUGCUUUCUCACUAAGAACUUUUGGAAUCAAGUACAUAUUGGGGCAGUUGUGCUA
rnacentral:lncRNA from 1 species